rnacentral:rRNA from 1 species
CAGCAGCCGCGGGAAUACGUAGGGUGCGAGCGUUAAUCGGAAUUACUGGGCGUAAAGCGUGCGCAGGCGGUUGUGUAAGACAGGUGUGAAAUCCCCGGGCUUAACCUGGGAACUGCGCUUGUGACUGCACAGCUAGAGUAUGGCAGAGGGGGGUGGAAUUCCACGUGUAGCAGUGAAAUGCGUAGAGAUGUGGAGGAACACCGACGGCGAAGGCAGCCCCCUGGGCCAAUACUGACGCUCAUGCACGAAAGCGUGGGGAGCAAACAGGAUUAGAUACCCCAGUAGUCCCUGUCUCUUAUAC